CUAAUCGUCAUGUCUUAGUAGCGGCGAGUGAGCGGCAAAAGCUCAAAUUUGAAAUCUGGCACUUUCAGUGUCCGAGUUGUAAUUUGAAGAAGGUAUCUUUGGGUCUGGCUCUUGUCUAUGUUUCUUGGAACAGAACGUCACAGAGGGUGAGAAUCCCGUGCGAUGAGAUGUCCCAGACCUAUGUAAAGUUCCUUCGAAGAGUCGAGUUGUUUGGGAAUGCAGCUCUAAGUGGGUGGUAAAUUCCAUCUAAAGCUAAAUAUUGGCGAGAGACCGAUAGCGAACAAGUACAGUGAUGGAAAGAUGAAAAGAACUUUGAAAAGAGAGUGAAAAAGUACGUGAAAUUGUUGAAAGGGAAGGGCUUGAGAUCAAACUUGGUAUUUUGUAUGUUACUCUCUCGGGGGUGGCCUCUACAGUUUACCGGGCCAGCAUCAGUUUGAGCGGUAGGAUAAGUGCAAAGAAAUGUGGCACUGCUUCGGUAGUGUGUUAUAGUCUUUGUCGAUACUGCCAGCUUAGACUGAGGACUGCGGCUUCGGCCUAGGAUGUUGGCAUAAUGAUCUUAAGUCGCCCGUCUUGAAACACGGACCA
rnacentral:rRNA from 1 species